AAACAACUCUCACGCUGUUUUAAAGCUCUUCUACUGUAUUUACUACGAAACGACCCGACGGUGCUGCAGCCGAUUGCGCCCAAAGUGCCGAGACAGAAAGCCACCCAGAUGUUGAAAUCAAACUCCAUUUGGAAAGCGUUUAUGAAGACAAGAGGGAUGAUACGAUACAAAGCAGUAAGAAGCAGCACCAGACAGCCUGUUGUGGCCCUAAAUCAGACCUGAAUUCUUUGGUCAGGCUCUUUCUUGGCACACCUGAGUGACAUCAUAAAAUGACCAGCGAAGAUCUGAGCCCACCUGUUACCAGCCCAAGCUUUUAAUGAAUGGAUCCUAACAGUGGGAUUUACUCAGGACUAGCUUCGGGGAGGUGAUUUCAGGGCCUUCCUUCCUUCCUUCCUUCCUUCCUCCUGACACAGAGGCCUGGGGGAGUCGCAGGGGAGUCAGGAUGGCCGGAUGUGCGACCGAUCAGACACACAGACGGACCGACCGACAAGGAACAGACACGCGGACAGGAGGAUGCUGCUGCUACUGAAGACUUUGGGCUUGAUUUUUCUUCCCAUCCGGAGCUACAAGGAGAAUGACAUCAUUCCUGUUUUGAUAGGACAACAGGAAGGUGGUGGGAGACGGAGAGCAGCGGGGUGUGUGGGUGAGAGCAUGAAGGCGAAUGAGGAUACAGAAGGAAAAGUGUUGAUCAGAGAAGAGGCAGCGUUAUGAUCAUCACAGUGGCUGUAUAUUUGCUUUCAGGUCGGCAGGACGCUUCGAUGUACCCCAUGGCCUUUUUUUUUUUAUAUUUGCCUAGAUUUUUCCCACUCUUCCGCCUCCUUCUGUAUC